rnacentral:rRNA from 1 species
AAUCAACGCUGGCGGCGUGCCUCAGACAUGCAAGUCGAACGAUUAAGACUCCCUUCGGGGAGUGCAUAAAGUGGCGCACGGGUGAGUAACACGUAGGUAAUGUACCGUAGGGUGGGGAAUAACUUAGGGAAACUUAAGCUAAUACCGCAUAAUGCAGCGGCUCCGAUUGGAGACAGUUGUUAAAGGAGCAAUCCGCCUUA